AGGUAAGCUACUAAGAGCGAAUGGUGGAUGCCUUGGUUGGUAGAGGCGAUGAAAGACGUGCUAGACUGCGAUAAGUCUCGGGGAGUUGUCAAGGAGCUUUGAUCCGGGAAUUUCUG
rnacentral:rRNA from 1 species